rnacentral:rRNA from 1 species
GACGGAAGGUGCAAGCGUUGCUCGGAAUCACUGGGCGUAAAGGGUGCGUAGGCGGCCGUGCAAGUCUGGCGUGAAAGCCCCGGGCUCAGCCCGGGAAGUGCGCUCGAAACUGCGCGGCUCGAGUGCCGGAGGGGAGAGUGGAAUUCUCGGUGUAGAGGUGAAAUUCGUAGAUAUCGAGAGGAACACCGGUGGCGAAGGCGGCCAACUGGACGAAUACUGACGCUGAGACACGAAAGCGUGGGGAGCAAACAGG